rnacentral:lncRNA from 1 species
ACACCGGAACCCUUUCUGAUAGUGCAAAAAGGUAAAAACUUUUCCUUUUGCACGAAAUUCAAUUUUAAGCUCAUCCAUGGCCAAAUCAGAGUGAAAGGAUCAGCCAAUUGGCCGAAAAAUACCUACGAAGCCCAGCAGCACUGCUACAGAAAAGUUCACAAACUGCCUCCGAUUAGGCCUUUCCCGAUUCUUAUUUCAUGUGAUUUUUUUACUGUUGUGAUCACCAAUUUCUUCUCUAUAGGUUGAUCGAAGCAAAAAACCUAACCGCAACGUGAGCCGAAGGAGCCGCCGUACCGGAGAGCCCCGCCGUUGGUGAGUUUCAGUUUUUCGUAUUUUUUCAGCCCACCGAUGCCCUUUAGCGUGUGUGCUCAUAGGAAUCGAUGCAAAAUCGACCAGAUUCGGUCAAAAAUGACCGAAAACGGCCGACCCGAGGCGGACCGCCGCCGCAAGCGAUGGCACCGUCACCAGAGCACGGCGGAGCCACCGUGCCAAAUUUUUGAAAUUGGUUGAGUGGGCCCUGGGACUAAUUUUGAGUUUAUUUGGAACAUUUAUAGGUACUAUAAGCACGUUU